rnacentral:lncRNA from 1 species
AGGCAAAUCAGGUUUUUCACAGAGAGCGUUUAUUCUGCAGCAUAACGCGGCUCCUCUUUUUACAAGGUGAGUAAACAUCCGUAAUGCACUAACGCACCUUUGGCAACACGUUUGUGUUAUGCUGGUUUUUAAUGUUUGUGGCUAAAAUCAAGUUGAUAUUUCCUCCCAAACCCAGGGCUUCGUGUCAUCGGCUUUAUGAGGUAACUGACGUCAAUCCGCAGCUGAUUAAUAGCCUGUGAUUAAAAAUAAAUUGUUUUUGAAUGGCAGACCAUGAUCAUAACAUCAAAAAUAUCCCCGGAAACCAGAAACAGAAGCAGCCGUGCCCGUGUCUGCCUGCGUCUGUGAUGAGACAUCCCUUCGUCACCCUUCCCGGCUGUACAGACUUCUAGAAAACGCCGUUUCUGUGAAAUCUAGGUUGUCAGCAUGCAAAGAAAGUUGGCAGAACACAGGGUUCCGUUGCUAAGUGAUCCUCAGCAAAUAAGAUACGUGUACAUUAUGGCAUUUGAUGACACCUUCAGGAGAGCAGAGAUUCCAGCCUGAUGGGAAACACAGUUUCCGAGAGAUGGGAGAGCGUGGGGGGUCUGUCCUGCCCGGCCGAGAACCCCAAGCCUGAGGUUGCCUGAGUCUCAGCUGGGAAAUGAAGUCAAGUUCUGUUUACUAUUCAGAGUCUCGGCUCUCUCCCUGUUGACUCUCGCCUGACCUUUGAAAGGGACAGAGUGAUGGCUCUGGUGUUUCCUUUCACUCUGUCAGAAGGCAAAUUCAGUGAUAGCCACAUGCCCAGCGAUAGUUACCCUUAAUGACCCAGCAAGAACCCCUUCCAAGCGAAGAUGCACGCGGAUGAGAGAUCUGAUUGCAGGAUCGCCAGCUCGCUUGGUGGGAUUUCCUCGUCACUCUCCUCUGAGUUGGCUUGGUUGACUGUUGCACGUGCCUGGAAGAUGCUGACCGGAACGGUCAGCCAUGAGGAAACUUACAAAGGCGAGCAGAACUCUGCCACACUGAGAGGAAAAAACCUUUCAGAACAGGGUGCUAUUCCGAAAUUGAGACGUUUUUCUAGCAAACAACAUGAGUCUGGCAGUUGAAAAUUGCCCAGCAUUGAUGUUCAACAGGCAUUUCAUUUCAGUGGGGACUCCUUUAUCAGCUGUAAAGAAACUGCGUCAUUGAAAGCCUCCUCCAUUUCUUAAUCCUCCACGAUCAGCGCUCUGAAUAUUGUGCUGUUAACACGUAGGAAAGUCCCCAGUGUGAGGAUUUUGAAGGCUGGAUCUGUUUAACUCAGGGGCCUUGAGUUAGAAGCUCAUUGCCUGCAGAUGUUUUGCCCUAACGGGACUGGAAACCUGGCGGCUAACCACCAGCUAUAAAACGGGGUAAGUGGCCAUCACUCCAAGUUUCGGUUUCUUUACCUAUAAUAUGUAGAAAAUAAAACCACUACUUCUCAGGAUAUAAGAUGUAUAUUAGUUAAUAUGUGUGAAGUGCUUAGCACAAUGAAUAUGUUACCAUUUCUUCAUCUGUAAAACCAGGAU